rnacentral:rRNA from 1 species
AGUUUGAUAAAUAUAGUUUAGAUUUAUUAAUGAUUAGAAGUAUAUAAAUUUUAGUAGUGAUAACGAAAUAAUUUUUUUACUAUAGAAAAUUAGUACUGUGAAGGAAAUAUUGAAAUAUUUGAAAAUUACUCAUAAAAAAAGUUCUUAUAUAUUAAGGUACCUUUUGUAUUAGUGGUUAUUAAAAUAAUAUUGAAAAAUUUUUUCUCGAAAGUAAAAGAUCUAGAUAAAUUUAUAAGUUUUUGUGUCAAAAAAAUUUAAAAAAUUUAUUUAGGUGUGAAAUUCUUAACGCUUUUACUAAUAUCUAGUAACUUCAGAAAUAAAUUUAGUUUAGAAUGUUUAGGAUAAACUUUAAUUUAAAGUGUCUCUAAAAUCAUUUUUAAUCUUUAGGGGAUGAGCUCUAAAGAUUUGUUAUAAGAUAAAUAUUAUCAUUGUUUUUGUAUAGGCUUAGAAUUAGCCAUAGGAUAGUGUUUUAAAAUAUAAUUACAAGUUUGAGAUUUUAAAUUCUUUAUAUGUUUAUGAAGUUAAUUUUUAAAUUUAUUUAAAAGUGUAAAUAUGAUAACAUUAGUAGAUAAAUUAUUAAAUGAAUUGUAUAUUAAUUUUUCUUAUAAUUUUUUUAUAAUAAAUUUAACAAAAGAACUCGGCAAAUUAUAUUUCCGAAUGUUUAUCAAAAACAUUUCCUCCUAGAAUAGGAGGUAAGGCCUGCUCACUGAUCAUUAAAGAGCCGCAGUAUCCUAACUGUGCUAAGGUAGCAUAAUCAUUAGUCUUUUAAUUGAGGACUGGUAUGAAUGGCUAAACGAGAAAUAGACUUUUUUUGUUAUAUAAAUUGAAUUUAAUUUUUCAGUGAAAAAGCUGAAAUUAUUUAGAAAGACGAGAAGACCCUAUAGAGUUUUAUGUUAUACAAUUGUUAUUUAUAGUAGAUUUUUAUUAAAUUAUAAUUUUUUAACAUUUUGUUGGGGCGACAUUAAGAUAUAUAAAACUCUUUAUUUUUUAUAUUUUUAUGGAAAGUUUAUUGAUCCUCUAAAAGAGAUCAGAAGAAAAAAUUACCUUAGGGAUAACAGCGUAAUCUUUUUUGAGAGUUCUAAUCGACAAAAAGGUUUGCGACCUCGAUGUUGGACUAAAAUUUAAGCAGGGUGCAGCAGUUCUGCUAUAAGGUCUGUUCGACCUAUAAAAUUUUACACGAUCUGAGUUCAGACCGGCGUAAGCCAGGUUGGUUUCUAUCUUCUAAUUUAUAUUUUUCAACUUAGUACGAAAGGAUUGGUUGAUUAUAAUUUUUAUAUUUAAAUUGAUGAUUAUUAAUAUAAAUUAC